rnacentral:lncRNA from 1 species
CUCCUCCUGGAGGUGGUUCCUCCCUCAGUUUUCCAGAUGGUUGCCCACUUGGUCCUCUGACAUCCUGCUCUUUCUUUCUCAGGGUCUGAUGACAUUGGCAAGAUUUUGUUCUUCCCCUUCUUCCCGGUUGGGCCCUCACCUGGAUGCAGAUGACUUCUCAAGUAACUCUGGGAGCCAUGAGAUUGUGGAGCUCUGACAUGAAAGGUGCCUGGAUCCCUACUGGCCUGCAUUUAAUUUGCAUGAGCAAGAUACAAACUCUAGGUGUUAAGCCUCUGAGAAUUUAAGUCGGGGAAGGGAAGGAAGAGAAAGAUUGACUGCAUACUUGAAAUUACAGUCACAAGGCUGAGCUGUUACAUGAACAGGCCAAAUUCCUUUCAGCAUGGUAAGUACAUAAAAAACCGAAUAAGCACAAACAUCUCAACUUGAACAUAUUAAUACCAUGAGUAUUCUUCUUUUCAACAUUCCCAUACUUAAUUCUAAGAUAAUUAUCCAUUAAGGGGAUUCUAGUAUCUCACACAAUUUCUGGAGUUAUCUUCGCGUGUAUUUUUUAAGGUUGCUGCAUUGACUUGCUUAAGAUUGCAAAAGCACCAGAGAAGUGGGCGGCUG